rnacentral:rRNA from 1 species
UCAGGAUGAACGCUGGCGGCGUGCCUAACACAUGCAAGUCGAACGGAAACAAGACGCUUCGGAGACUUCGGUCAAUGUUGUUUGUUUAGCGGCGGACGGGUGAGUAACGCGUGGAUAACCUGCCUCACACUGGGGGAUAACAGUUAGAAAUGACUGCUAAUACCGCAUAAGCGCACGGGAUCGCAUGGUCUAGUGUGAAAAAACUCCGGUGGUGUGAGAUGGAUCCGCGUCUGAUUAGCCAGUUGGCGGGGUAACGGCCCACCAAAGCGACGAUCAGUAGCCGGCCUGAGAGGGUGAACGGCCACAUUGGGACUGAGACACGGCCCAAACUCCUACGGGAGGCAGCAGUGGGGGAUAUUGCACAAUGGGGGAAACCCUGAUGCAGCCGACGCCGCGUGAGUGAAGAAGUAUUUCGGUAUGUAAAGCUCUAUCAGCAGGGAAGAUAAUGACGGUACCUGACUAAGAAGCACCGGCUAAAUACGUGCCAGCAGCGGC